AACUAAGUUUGUUCUUGGUAUGAGCUUUUGUGUGCAUGCACACUUCUUCAGAUACUAUAUACAGAUACUGAAGAAGUGUGCAUGCACACGAAAGCUCGUACCAAGGACAAACUUAGUUGG